AGAAGGGGCCCUGGUGGUCUUGGCCAUCCCCCAAAGGCCCUGCGGAGACACAGUGACAGAGCUAGGGCCCAGCCUUGCCACUUCCUAGCUGUAUACCCUUGGGCACCUUCACUACCUCUCUGAGACACUUACUGCCACAGCAACUGAACAGGAUCAAAUAAGAUGAUAGAAGUGAAAGUGGUUUGGGACUUAAAAGCUUUCAGGAAAUGUCACCACUUCCUCUACAACAUGCGAGAUCUGAUCAUAACACUUCUCCCACCCUACUCUCUCCUGCAAACCCCUGAGCCUCCGGCGACACCAACCACCUGCUGUUCUCUGAAUGUGCCAUGUUCUCUCCCACCUCUGGGCCUUUGCACAGGCUGUGUCCUACCUGGAGUGCCUUCUCCUCAGCCUUGUCCUCUUUGCAAACUCUCAGCUUUACAACAUGCUGGCAGGGUGACCUUGGAGAAGGGACUUCACCUCCCGAGACCUCAGUUUCUACAAAAUGGGGACGUGUAUGUGCCUACUUCCUGGGGCUGCUGGGAGAAUUGAACAAGCUGCACCCCCAGGCUCUGCCAGCAUCGCCAACCCUGCUUCCUGCACACCCUGAUGAUCUCCUUCAGAAACCCGGCCGUUUGCUAGGAGCCUGUUUAACUCAUCCUCCAGGACUCAUUGGUCACUCCUCUUCCAUGAAGAUGGUCCUGCCCUUUCUCUUCCCUCCAUCCCUGCUUCACCCAAGAUUCUGUGUACCUCCUUUCACUGGCCAACCUCCAGGACACGAGCUCCUGCAAAGCAGCGCUGGACUUUUGUUUCAGACUCUCAGGUCAAGCACGGGAAAUAUUUCUCAAUGAAUCAAUGAAUGAAAUGAGUCCAUGAGUGAAUGUCUGGGAAAGGGAACAAGUGACAGAGUCACCAGUCCCCUCAGCCCUAGCGUGAGGCUCCCCUACCCUCUAUGGCCACUCCUGCUUCCUCUUUCCCCUUGUCUACAGCCCAGGCCACACCCCUCUCGGCAGGGGGCUUCAGGGGGUGGGUCUGGUAGCCAUUCUGCCCAUCACCUCCAGCAGAGAGAACCUAGCCCAGAAUGUCAGCUCCAUCAGGCGGCAUGAGUUGCUGGAACCCUGCUGUCUGCAUCCCGCCUCUUCCUGUGGCCUCAGCGGAGGGGAGACCCGAUAGUUGAUAGGGAGUGGGAGGGGCCCCGUACCUGGUGGGUCACGGGGACAUGCGGUCCUCACCAGGGGAGGAGCAGCAGCAGCACAACCAUUCUCCCCACCCCAGAUUCAGCAUGUCCUCACCCAACAGGCAGGCUCUCCAUCUUCCGGGGACCCUGAUAUUUAAGGAAAUUAAGGUCAGGUCUGGCUGGUAAAUAUUUGUUUAAGCUGAAUAGAAAAUGGUGCCUGAGAAGAAGGCCUUAUUUUAUGAGCAAAUAAAUUGCAUGAGGGAGAGUGGGCUGAGAGAGGGGAGGCGGGGCAGGACGCUCAAUUACUUAGAGCAGGAAGUGCCUCCCCAAGUCUGGGAGGCUGUCCAUGUUCCCCCUUUUUAAAGGCGUGGCUCCUCCACUUUACUCCGUGGGCCAAGGCAGGGGGUCUUGCCUUCCUUGCCUGGAUCCAUAGCAGGCCAUUCCAGGCUGCCCUUCCCUGAAUGACUGCACAUUGUGAUUCCCCAGGGCAGCCAAGCAGGGGAGAGUUUGACCUCCGGGCUCAUCUGGACCAAGUCUGCAUCCCAGUUCCGCCAUCGAGCAGCUGUGUGGUUUAGGAAAUCUCGGUCUCCCUGAAGCUCAGUUUUCUCAUCUGUGUAAUGGGGGUAAGCUUGCACUGACUUCAUCAGUCGUUGUAAGCACGAAGUGGGGCACUGCAUGUGAAGUGCUCAGCCUGGUGUGUGGUCCAUGGGGGUGUGCCUGUGGUCAGCAGAAUAAUGGCCUCCAAAGACAUCCACGUCUACUCCCCAGAACCCGUGAAUGUGGCACCUUACGUGGCAAGCGGGGGAUCAAGGCUGCAGAAGGAAUUAGGGCUACUGAUCAGUUGACCUUGAGAUGGGGAGACUAACCUGGGUUAUCCGCGUGGCCCAAGGUAAUCACAGAGUCCUUAGAAGUGGAAGAGGGAGGCAGAGGAGUCAAUGUCAAAGUGAUGCAGUAUGAGGACGAAUCCACCAGGAUUGCUGGCUUUCAACACGGAAGGAGACUACCACCAAGGAAUGUGGACAGCCUUUAGAAGCUGGAAGAACACAAAGAUGGAUUCUCCUCCAGAAGCUCCAAGAUGGAAUGCAACUUGACCGACACCUUGAUUUUAGCCCAGGGUGACCCAUUUCAGACAUCCGACUUACAGUACGGUAAUAAAUUUGUGUUGUUCUAAGCCA